UUACAGACCAGAAGGAAGCGCAAGGAUUUGUGUUGGUGGAAUCAGCGGAGACGGAGCAACAAUAGCCGUCAUCGGCCGCCGACUUCCAGGCGGUCGCGUCCGUCGCCUCCUCCCGUCCGUCCGUCGCCUCCUCCCGUCCGUCCGUCGCCUCCUCCCGUCGCGUCCGUCGCCUCCUCCGUCCGUCCGUCCGUCCGUCGCCUCCUCCCGUCCGUCCGUCCGUCCGUCGCCUCCUCCCGUCCGUCCGUCCGUCCGUCGCCUCCUCCCGUCCGUCCGUCCUCCGUCCGUCCGUCGCCGUCCUCCCCCGUCCGUCCUCCUCCUCGCCUCUCCGUCCUCCUCCGUCCGUCCGUCCGUCCGUCGCCUCCUCCCGUCCGUCCGUCGCCUCCUCCCGUCCGUCCGUCCGUCCGUCGCCUCCUCCCGUCCGUCCGUCCGUCCGUCGCCCCUCCCCCGUCCGUCCGUCCGUCCGUCGCCUCCUCCCGUCCGUCCGUCCGUCCGUCCGUCCCUCCUCCCGUCCGUCCGUCCGUCCGUCCGUCGCCUCCUCCCGUCCCUCCUCCCGUCCGUCCGUCGCCUCCUCCCGUCCGUCCGUCGCCUCCUCCCGUCCGUCCGUCGCCUCCUCCCGUCCGUCCGUCGCCUCCUCCCGUCCGUCCGUCGCCUCCUCCCGUCCCGUCCGUCGCCUCCUCCCGUCCCGUCCGUCGCCUCCUCCCGUCCGUCCGUCCGUCGCCUCCCUCCCGUCCCGUCCGUCCGUCCGUCGCCUCCUCCCGUCCCGUCCGUCCGUCCGUCGCCUCCUCCCGUCCCGUCCGUCCGUCCGUCGCCUCCUCCCGUCCCGUCCGUCCGUCCGUCGCCUCCUCCCGUCCCGUCCGUCCGUCCGUCGCCUCCUCCCGUCCGUCCGUCCGUCCGUCGCCUCCUCCUCCCUCCGUCCGUCCGUCCGUCGCCUCCUCCCGUCCGUCCGUCCGUCCGUCCGUCGCCUCCUCCCGUCCGUCCGUCCGUCCGUCGCCUCCUCCCGUCCGUCCGUCCGUCCGUCGCCUCCUCCCGUCCGUCCGUCCGUCCGUCGCCUCCUCCCGUCCGUCCGUCCGUCCGUCGCCUCCUCCCGUCCGUCCGUCCGUCCGUCGCCUCCUCCCGUCCGUCCGUCCGUCCGUCCGUCGCCUCCUCCCGUCCGUCCGUCCGUCGCCUCCUCCCGUCCGUCCGUCCGUCGCCUCCUCCCGUCCGUCCGUCCGUCGCCUCCUCCCGUCCGUCCGUCCGUCGCCUCCUCCCUCCGUCUCCUCGCCUCCGCCUCUUCCGUCCUCCUCCUCCUCCUCCUCCUCCUCGCCUCCGUCGCCGUCCUCCUCCGUCCGUCCGUCCUGUCGCCUCCUCCCCGUCCGUCCGUCCGUCCGUCGCCUCCUCCCGUCCGUCCGUCCGUCGCCUCCUCCCGUCCGUCCGUCCUCCCGCAGUUCCGUCCGUCCGUCCCCUCUCCUCCUCCCUCCGUCCUCCGCCCUCCUCCCGUCCGUCCGUCCGUCCGUCGCCUCCUCCCGUCCGUCCGUCGCCUCCUCCCGUCCGUCCGUCGCCUCCUCCCGUCCGUCCGUCGCCUCCUCCCGUCCGUCCGUCCGUCCGUCGCCUCCUCCCGUCCGUCCGUCCGUCCGUCGCCUCCUCCCGUCCGUCCGUCCGUCGCCUCCUCCCGUCCGUCCGUCCGUCCGUCGCCUCCUCCCGUCCGUCCGUCCGUCCGUCGCCUCCUCCCGUCCGUCCGUCCGUCCGUCCCCUCCUCCCGUCCGUCCGUCCGUCCGCCCCCUCCUCCCGUCCGUCCGUCCGUCCGUCCCUCCUCCUCCCUUCGUCCGUCCUUCCGUCCUUCGCCUCCUCCCUCCCCCUUCCUCCCUCCCCCGUCCGUCCGUCCGUCGCCUCCUCCCGUCCGUCCGUCCGUCGCCUCCUCCCGUCCGUCCGUCCGUCGCCUCCUCCCCGCUCAUCAAACUUCAUCCCCAAGUCAACGGCAGCGCAGGUCAUGAGAGGCAUGAAGGAGCUGGAGGUCGUCAUCACACUAAUUACAUUAGAUCUACGUGUAGACUAGAUGAAUCAAUACUCAAUACGAUGUGCAAUCUGCAAACUAAACAGGAAGCAGUGAUCGUGGUCCCAGGUGGAUCCUCCCUGCAGGAGCUUCCACUGAAUCACAAGCCACACAUUUACUUUAAGCUGAACUCCAACGUUGCUGCACAUUUAAAAGCUGAGCUUCAGGUCACGUGA
ensembl:lncRNA